AGCGAACGCUGGCGGCAGGCUUAACACAUGCAAGUCGAGCGGGCGUAGCAAUACGUCAGCGGCAGACGGGUGAGUAACGCGUGGGAACGUACCUUUUGGUUCGGAACAACACAGGGAAACUUGUGCUAAUACCGGAUAAGCCCUUACGGGGAAAGAUUUAUCGCCGAAAGAUCGGCCCGCGUCUGAUUAGCUAGUUGGUGAGGUAACGGCUCACCAAGGCGACGAUCAGUAGCUGGUCUGAGAGGAUGAUCAGCCACAUUGGGACUGAGACACGGCCCAAACUCCUACGGGAGGCAGCAGUGGGGAAUAUUGGACAAUGGGCGCAAGCCUGAUCCAGCCAUGCCGCGUGAGUGAUGAAGGCCCUAGGGUUGUAAAGCUCUUUGUGCGGGAAGAUAAUGACGGUACCGCAAGAAUAAGCCCCGGCUAACUUCGUGCCAGCAGCCGCGGUAAU
rnacentral:rRNA from 1 species